GUACAAGAGUUGAAUGAUGAAUUUCUUUUGUAUUGAUUUUGUUUUAUUCUCUCGUAAUAAAGUUUGCACAUCCCAUAAACAUAGGCUUAAAAUCGAUCCAUAAUUUAUAUUAUAUUUUUUAUUUUAUUUUUUUUUCCUUUCUGCUGUAUCGUGUGGUAUCGAAUCCUGACCCAAUAUUAUCAUCGUAAAAUUUGUAUUUAUUUUGAAACAUUGCUAUUUAUUUUGGA
rnacentral:lncRNA from 1 species